AUUGAACGCUGGCGGCAGGCCUAACACAUGCAAGUCGAACGAGUGGCGGACGGGUGAGUAAUGUCUGGGAAACUGCCCGAUGGAGGGGGAUAACUACUGGAAACGGUAGCUAAUACCGCAUUCCAUCGGAUGUGCCCAGAUGGGAUUAGCUUGUAGGUGAGGUAACGGCUCACCUAGGCGACGAUCCCUAGCUGGUCUGAGAGGAUGACCAGCCACACUCGGACUUCUGGCGGGUCCAGACGCCUACGUGAGGGAGCAGUGGGGAGUAUUGGACAAUGGGCGCAAGCCUGAUGCAGCCAUGCCGAGUGUAUGAAGAAUGCCUUCGGUUUGUUAAUUACUUUCAGCCGGGAUGCGUUACCCGCAGUAGAAGCUCCGGCGAACUCCGUGCCAGCAGCCGCGGUAGUAC
rnacentral:rRNA from 1 species